CACGUAGGGUGCGAGCGUUGUCCGGAAUUAUUGGGCGUAAAGAGCUCGUAGGCGGUGCGUCGCGUCGGCCGUGAAAACUUGGGGCUUAACUCUGAGCGUGCGGUCGAUACGGGCAUCACUUGAGUUCGGCAGGGGAGACUGGAAUUCCUGGUGUAGCGGUGAAAUGCGCAGAUAUCAGGAGGAACACCAGUGGCGAAGGCGGGUCUCUGGGACGAUACUGACGCUGAGGAGCGAAAGCAUGGGGAGCGAACAGG
rnacentral:rRNA from 1 species